AACGAACGCUGGCGGCGUGCCUAACACAUGCAAGUCGAACGUGAAAGGGGGCAACCCCCGGUAGCGUGGCAGACGGGUGAGUAACACGUGGGUAACCUACCCGGAGGUGGGGGAGUAACCCUUCGAAAGGAGGGCUAAUACCGCAUGACACCGCGGGGACCUCGGUCCCUGCGAUCAAAGCUGGCCUCUGUUUACAAGCUAGCGCCACCGGAUGGGCCCGCGCCCCAUUAGCUAGUUGGUGAGGUAACGGCUCACCAAGGCGACGAUGGGUAGCCGGCCUGAGAGGGCGAUCGGCCACACUGGAACUGCGACACGGUCCAGACUCCUACGGGAGGCAGCAGUGAGGAAUAUUGCGCAAUGGGCGAAAGCCUGACGCAGCGACGCCGCGUGGAGGAUGAAGGUCUUCGGAUUGUAAACUCCUGUCGAGUGGGACGAAUGCCGUGA
rnacentral:rRNA from 1 species